GGUUGCGAUCAUACCAGCACUAAUGCACCGGAUCCCAUCAGAACUCCGCAGUUAAGCGUGCUUUGGCGAGAGUAGUACUAGGAUGGGUGACCCUCUGGGAAGUCCUCGUGUUGCAACCC
rnacentral:rRNA from 1 species